rnacentral:rRNA from 1 species
UACGGGGGGGGCAAGCGUUGUUCGGAAUUACUGGGCGUAAAGGGCUCGUAGGCGGCCAACUAAGUCAGACGUGAAAUCCCUCGGCUCAACCGGGGAACUGCAUCUGAUACUGGAUGGCUUGAGUUCGGGAGAGGGAUGCGGAAUUCCAGGUGUAGCGGUGAAAUGCGUAGAUAUCUGGAGGAACACCGGUGGCGAAGGCGGCAUCCUGGACCGACACUGACGCUGAGGAGCGAAAGCCAGGGGAGCAAACGGG